ACCAUCAGCUGUUUUGGACCCAUCUUCUUCUUCGGCAAAAAGAGAAACGGCAGCAUCUCGCCUAACUGAGAAAAUUAGCCAAAAAUGUUGUCAUAGCUAAUUAAAAUAGCUCUUCGCUUUAGCUCCGAACACCAUUUUCUGUUUGCCAAAAAGCGUAGCCAUGAAACCAGCUGAAACGCCAUUUUUAUCCCUCCUUUUCAACACCCAAAAACCAACUCAAAUGCAUUCCAAAAAUUAGCAACAACGAGCUGAAAAACAGCCCAAUUACCCAACAAAAAUCAGCCACAAACCUGCUGAAAUCAGUCCAAAACGAGCUAAAAAAUAGCUCUGUUUUCCAGUGCAAAAAUCAGCUUAAAACCACCAUCAAAACCCAGCAACGAUGAGCUGAAAAACAGCCCUCAAACCCAGCAAAAAUCAGCUGUAAAUUUACCCAAAAAUAUCCUUCUUCCUCAACCCAAAAAUCCCAAAAAUCAGCUGCAACAAUUGGGAAAAAACGCAGCAACAGUGGCUGUGAGAAACCAGCUAAAAAUGACUGUUUCAGCACCUGAAACCAGUCCAAAAACCAAUUAAUGUCGAGGUAUGGUUGUUCGAGUUUGAGGGUAUGUCGAGGUCCAGUUUUGCGGCGAGUCCUCUGUUCGCUUCGACCUUUGUAUUCAAGAAGUUUUUUCCAUAUAUAAAAGUAUUAUCAUACAGGUGUGGAUCUACUUAUCGGAGUUUGGGCAUGACAGACGCCUUAGGACCAUCUAGUCAUGAAUUUACUUAAGGAGAUUUUUUUUAGUUAUUAUAUUUUAAGUCUGUUGUUCUUUUUUAUGUCAUCUUUUACCUUCCAGUUUUGUACAGUAAUGUUGGGUCUUUUGUUUUUGUA